AAGAUAAGAUGUUAUAAAUAUUCUUAUAAUUUAACAAAGUUUUUUUCAACAUUGAUAUUAAAGGUUAAAUAGCAUUUAAAUGGUGGUUAAUAGUAAAUUGGAAUAGUUUUAUUGACUUUUGUUAAGAAAGGAACCCCGGGGAUUCAAUUCCCUGGAGGUCCAGUGGUGAAGACUUUACGCUUUCACUGCAGGGGGUGCAGGUUUGAUCCCUGGUCAGGGAAGUUCUGCAUGCCAUGAGGUGCAGCCAAAGAAAGAAAUUUUAAAAAGAAAGGAACCCCUGUUUGUUCUCAAAUAUGGGUAGAAAUGCCAUAUAAAGGAACUAUAUAAAAGCAUCUGUAAAAAAGUCACUCUCCUUCUAAUAGGAGAAAAUGAUGACCCUUCAAUAGAACCAAUGCUGGCCCAUAACAUGCCUUUGAUGGUCUGGGAAAGGACAUCCAUUUCUCUGAGCAGAGGAGGCUGCAUGUGGCCCAGAGGGUUUGGGGAGCAGAGUGAGCACUGGAUUCUGGUUCCCCCCACCUCAGCGAGGCUCCUGUGCCCUGCAUAUAUAUUACAGGCACAGUGCAUGGUGCCAGCAGUCACUGUGACAGCCAAGAUGUUAUUACUGCCUCAAUGAAGUCACCUGUAGUUAGUUCAUACAAGGGUAUAAAUUAUUACAUAGUUUUAAAAGAUGUGCCCAUUCAAAUCAUCAUCCCUAAAGCAAUCUCAUUUUGACAUAGUACUCAUUAUAGGAAAAAGACUGAGAAUUUUUACUGUAGAAACAGCUGAGGUACACAGAAGCUUUGGGACAGUUCUGAAAUAUGCUUGGAUUUGGGUAUGAAAUAUACAGCCUGCCUUGUAAAACUUAGUAUCAGGGUGACAUGAAGCAGCUCAGAGAUGUGGGGAGCACUGCAGAGGUUUAGGAAAGAAAAUAUGCAGUUGCUCAGUAAAAUCUUUGAUGGCCAAAAGUCUGAACCCAUGGUGAGCAAAGCAAAAUUGGAUCUGAAAAUAGAUUGAAAAAGUAUGUAGUCCCCUUUGAUCUUUUUUAUUUCUUGGUUCUGGGAGUUAAUUCUUAAGGAGAAGGGCCUAUGGAGUUCUAAAAAGUUCCCAUUCUCAUAGGUUAUGAAAUUCACAAAAUUGUACAUGUGUUCCUGAUGACCUUAACGAAACCUCACCCUGGGAAUCCAUUUAAAAAGGGGUUACGACAAUGCUCAUCAGCAACCCAGACAUGUCUAGUCAUAGAAAUCAAAUUUUCACAAACCAUUCUUUCCCAAAGAUGAAUCUGUAACCCAUAACUGAUAAAGAAGAAUUAGGCCUUGCUAUUAGAGAACUGGACACAUCACUCUAACUAGUCUUCAGUGAAGCUAUGCUGUGCAGAGAGAGAAGAGCAGUCAGGUGUAUGGCAGAGGCAAGACCCACAGUGAAAAGCACAAAAGGUUUUCUGCUCUAACCUCUACUUGCCCAUUCUGCUGCCCUCCUGACUGCUCAUCUCCCCAAAGGCCAGGUCCACUUAUUUCCCAUAUUUGGGCAGCAUUCCAGUUGCCAGACUACUAUUGCUCUCAAAAUUUGCCAGUCCCUGGCCUUCUGCAAGGUGAUCAUGCAAGCAGUGGGUCACUGUUACCAUCUUCAUGAUUGCUUACUUAUUAGGGACCACAUUCCCAGUGUCUUUCUGCAGGUCACUAAGGACUUCUUUGACAGUCACCUAAUCCAGCUGAUGACUCCAACCUUGAGACUUCCAGGUUGCAGAUGCUCGUGACAAGGCUCUAAAUUACAGAUGAGCAGUAACACUUAACUGAUAUCCCAUGGAACUACAGCUCCUUACAACACACUUUGGAAAUGUUAAUCCAGUUCAGUGAGCACAUUUUAAAGAUGAAGAAACUAAGGCCCAGAGAAGGUAAUAAAAAUUGGGAAACUGUUAAGCACACAUCCAUCUUCGGCACAGCACUAUCCUAAGUCCAGGAAGAAGCUUUCAAAACGAGCCUGGCCAUUUGCAAACCUUUCUCCAGACAGACUCUCCUCAGCCAGCCCCGGCUACUAAGGAAGGUGAUUUUGGGACAGGGAAAGGUAGGGUCUGGCCAGGAGCCAUGUCUGCUGUAACUCGUCUCAUCUUGGUGUUGGUGUGUGGAACCUCAUGCAGUUCACGGAGGCUGCAAGCUCUCACUGUGGCCACUAAGUAUUGCUCCAGACACCCCCACCUCCUUUGCUCAUAUACAAUAUUUUCUUUUUCAUAACUUGGCUUCAAUGAAAAAGAAUAUUUUAAGUAAGCUACUCAUACUCAUUGUUUACCUAAAGCAGCCUUAAAAAGCCCAGAGCAAGGGAUCUGUUAAGUAAACCCAGAAGUAGAGGACAGAUUUGCCUCCUCUUAAUUGUGCCCUGAAGCGCCUUUAGAAGAAAUGAGUAUAGUGAACAUCACAGAAAUUAUAAGUCACAUGUCUGAACCCAGAUCUGUACCUGGAUUUUACUGGGCACAGAAACUCAUUGAUUGUAGCCCAAGUGUUCACCCAGUCUGCCAGACAGCCACAGAAGUGAAAAUACCAAAAGCCUGGGGCCAGGACUAGAGUAAGGCAUAUGAGGUAUUAUUCCACCUUGGAUACAGCAUUUAAGGGGGUGCCAAAGUUCAGUAAUCAAGAAAUAAUAUUUUAGUGCAAUACUUUAAAAAGACAAACUCUUGAUAGGACCAGAUUAGGGUGAGUGAGGUGAGACAUGCCAAGUAUGUGGUCAGAUCUUGUGUGUGUUUAAAAUGCUAGAAUUUGCUCAUCAGUAAAUUUUUUUGCAUUAAUUUUGAUUUUUUAAAAAUACUGCAUAAAAACAGUAUUUAUUGGGACUUCCCUGGCUGUCCAGUGGUUAAGACUGUGCUUCCACUGCAGGGCACCUGGGUUCAAUCCUUUUUUCAGGGAACUACGAUCCCGCAUGCUGCUUGGUGUGGUCAAAAAAAUAAUAGUAAUAUUUAUCGUGGCUACUAGGACUUACUGUGCAGCUCAUGAAGGACCUGACAGGUUUCCUAGUAAUUCUGUAUUCAUUUUCUUAAAGACGACCCCCGCCAAAGUUCUUUAGGCAUAAAUCUUGAGUCAGACAUAGAAUUCAUUUAUUGUCAAAUGAGAGUGCUCAGCUCCAAGGGUUGCCUGUUGCCCAAAGAUGGAUAAGCGCCCUGCUAACAUCCCAAGUUGCUCCGAGGUAGCCUGGGGUAAAGUGACUCCGUACACAUCAGCAGGGAUUACUCUCACUUCUUUCAUCUAUCUGUAACUCAAUUUAGGGUGGAAGGAGCUUUUUGAUCUUCUAGAGCCAGAGCCUGUUCCUUCAGUCCAGCUUAUUAGGAUAUCUGGGCCAUCCCUUUCCUCAGAGGACAUGGGUAUAGGUGUGCCUUCUUUCAGAACAACUCUUCUGCAUUCUUUUUGACUUUCCCAGGGCAGCCCUUUAUGUUUUGUGCUUUGUGUACCUGCAUGUCUCGAUAUUCACCUGUAAGAUGGGCAGCGUGCUCAUUCUUGCUUCUGUUAUGCUACAUGCGUCUCUCUCUGUACCACAGAAGCCCUCCUUGACUUCCAUUCCCUGGACGCUGGAGAUUUCCAAAACCAAAGCCAACUCUGCCCCAAGCAGCAGAUACUCUCAGGGCCCGGGGCUCUGGUAUGUGCUGUGGGCGCCAGUGCUCCUCUAGAUCUUGGCCUCGUAGUUGCUUAUUACCCUGUCAUCUUGCUAUUGCUUUUUGGUAAACUUAAAACACAAUGUAUUUUUAAAUCCAGAAAUUUUAGCUGUUUUCAGUGAGAGGGUUGGUCUGGAUCACUAGUCUGCCAUUACUAGAAGCAGAAGUCUUGACAUAAAUGGGUUAUUAAUUUAUAUUAUUACCAGUGCUUCUAGAUAAUCUACUUAAAUCCUUUCAUUUGUUUUUCAAAGGGAGAGACACUGGAUUAGUGCCCUGAGGAAAGAAGCCAUGUCUGUUAGUUCACUUUCAUGUUCUCCACGCAGGGAAGGAAUGAUGCUUGGGGCUGACACUCAGGAAAGGCAAACAAGGCCCUCACCCUGGGUAUAAAACUUUAGACCUAAAAUUGAACUGAAACCUGACUUUAUCUUCCCUUUCCUCAUUGACUGCCUGUGUAGAAGUUUGAUCCAAUAUUGAAACCAGGAAUUGAAGCUUUCAAGUAUAAUCAUAGAAAUGUCUGGUUCUCCCUUCAGUUCUGUGUUUGCUUCAUAUAUCUUGGGGACUCUGCUGUUUGGUGUGUGUAAUUUAUAAUGAUUUCAUAUUCAUAAUAAAUUCACCCAUUUUCAUGAAAAAAAAAAAAACAGCAGUGAAUAUAAGUUUAGCAUAAAGUCUGGCCUGGCAUUUCUUGCUCAAUGAACGUUAUAUGUUAUUAUCAUGAAGCAGGGAAGCAAUGAAAUAAUGUGACAGAAGCCAGAAGAGUGGUUAAUUUUGAGGGUGGUGGUGUGUGUUUGAGGGUGAAUCUUUUCUCUAGGGCCAGGAGGAGAAGGGAGAUGACAACUCACCAGGAGAAAGAGAGGACUGAUGGCUACCCAGCAGAUCUUCCAAAACCAUCCAGGGCUGAAACCAAGCAUUUCCUUCACAUCACUGCAGAACUGAUUGAUGCCUACAGUCAUCCAGAAGAGAAGGAGAUUGACUAAGAGAGGAAACAGACUGUCCUCCUAGCCCUUGAGUCUCAGAGAGAGUAGCAACUCUGGAAUUUCUCCGUGGGAGGGGUUCAGGGACACCAAUCUGGUCUGAAAGUGGGACGGGGAACAUGUCACAAAAAUACUUGUUAUAGCAAGCAAAGCUCUUUCUACAGAGAGUGGGAGGACUGGUAGACACUGGGGACCUAAAGCCUUGUCUUGGUGCCCCACAGCACCCUUCUAGGAUUUCACCAUGUAUCUGAUUUUAUCCUUACUGUAGAAAAGGAAGUUGAACUUUGUCUAAAAAUGUUGAACCCACUUGAUAGAGACUGACUCUGACCAUAUGCUAGAAACUUUCAAGAGAAAAUUCUAACCACACUAUUGCUCAUUCAUGUUGUCAGAUCAAGAUCAAGGUUCUUCUCUACAAAGUAACCGGCAGGGAAGUGAGAAGUGGGAACUCCGACUGGGGAGAGAUGGAGAAGGGGAAGGAAGAGCACUCUGUGGUUGCUUCCCUGAAAAUGCCCAGAGGUCUGUAGCAUCACAGACUUUGAACUUGGUUCUCUGAAGUGCUGAGGGGGUGGGGAGGACUUCUUUCAAACACACAAAAAAGUCCCAAAACCGGGCCCACGUAUAACUCAAAACAUGGGACCCCCCCUUCUUCAUGUUAUGUGUAAUGAUCUACAUGCUAAAGCUGUUCUGCUAUCAUAGAAACUGGGAAAAUAAAUAUAUUCAGAAUGAAAUAAUCA